AACCCUGUACACUUAGAAUAUUUUACAAUUUUCCCCCAAACCUAAAUCCAAACCCUUGUUUUCAUCGAUCACCACUGCACCUCCAUCGCCAUCAUCCGUCGUUGCUGUCAGCCGCAUAUGAUUCAGGCACCGGCACGGAGACGCUCUGAGACGGAGACGGAGACAGAGACGCCACCAACCACGAAGUAGCAGAAAGAUUUAUAGGCACAUCAGCUUAUCCGAAUUCUAGAUCAAUCCUAUCGAUUUUGAACAAAUGCAACCACGCAUUUAUCAAUAUGACUGAUCCUUCAUUCAUUGUUCCAUUUUAUCAUGCUUUUAAUGGCAAGAAAUGGGAAAAGUUCAACAGUGAAAAGGUGGCAUCACUUGCAUAUGUUCGCAUCCAGGGAAAAGCUGCCCUUAUUGCUCACUUCCAGAAUUCUAGCUUGAUGAAUGAAGAUAAGAUGUAGUAUGCUGAAUUGUAGUAUGCUAUUGGGCUUCAUGGCUUACUACUCUAUAACCCCAUAUCAAAAAAUAUAUAAAACAGAGCUACAAUGUGUUCCUAGUAGCUUUGACUCUGUGGAAGAGUAUGUUUUUGCAUAGGCUGCUUGUGGACUGAACAUUAAAUUACCGAAGGAAAAGAUUGAAGAUAUUGAUGCCGGAGAUGUGUACAAUGAGUUGGCAGUUGUGGGGUAUGCAGAAAACAUUUAAAAGUUCUACAAGGAAGCUGAGUGGCAUUAUAUAGAGGAUGCAAUGUGUUUUGUUUUGCUUGGGCCUUGAGGAAGAGAAAACUAGAAAGUAGGCAAAGCAUGACUGGUAGAUUGAUAAAUGCCAUCCAUCCCACAUGGUAGUUGCUAAUUGGGAGCAUUUGUAUUCAUAUUAGGAAAGUAUUGCCAAUGCAUUGAUUUUACUCUACUUGAAUAGACUCUAGUAUGCCAUUUUAGUGUUUCCUGUCUAGCAAGUUGCCAUUUUAGUGUUUCCUGUCUAGCUUUUCUGUACUAUAACC